GAUGAAGAACGCAGCGAAAUGCGAUACGUAAUGUGAAUUGCAGAAUUCAGUGAAUCAUCGAAUCUUUGAACGCAUAUUGCGCUCUCUGGUAUUCCGGAGAGCAUGCUUGUUUGAGUAUCAGUAAACACCUCAACUUCCAUAUCUUUUUUGAAAUGGGAGUUGGACUUGAGUGAUCCCAACGCUUUUCCUCACCGAAAAGUGGCGGGUUACUUGAAAUGCAGGUGCAGCUGGACUUUUCUCUGAGCUAUAAGCAUAUCUAUUUAGUCUGCCUAAAAAACAUAUUAUUACCUUUGCUGCAGCUAACAUAAAGGAGAUUAGUUCUUGUGCUGACUGAUGCAGGAUUCACAAAGACGGCUUCGGCCGACUUUGUAAACUCGAUCUCAGAUCAAGUAAGACUACCCGCUGAACUUAAGCAUAUCAAUAAGCGGAGGA
rnacentral:misc_RNA from 1 species